AUUGUAGUUUAAUUUUAGAAAAUCCAGGAUCUAUUCUAAAAGACCACACGAGUCAGAACACGAGUGAACACGAGUGAACACGAGUGAACACGAGUGAACACGAGUGAACACGAGUGAACACGAGUGAACACGAGACAACACGAGUGAACACGAGUCAGAACACGAGUGAACACGAGACAACACGAGUGAACACGAGUCAGAACACGAGUGAACACGAGACAACACGAGUGAACACGAGUGAACACAAGACAACACGAGUGAACACGAGUGAACACGAGUCAGAACACGAGUGAACACGAGACAACACGAGUGAACACGAGUCAAAAAAUUGUGAACACGAGUGAACACGAGUCAA